rnacentral:lncRNA from 1 species
UCUGGAUGCCAACCAGAGGGUCAUUAUCCAAAUAACGAUGCCAUCGAGGUCAAGAUUAGUACUUCACAUGGGGAGAGGGUGUAGAUGGCAAAAAACCCAAUAAGAAAGAGGCUGUUCCAGAUAAUGGAGAAGUAAAGCACCUCUAUAGCAGCGACAAUGAUAAGGAUAUGGAUGACUAUUUGGUGAUGACGGUGAUAGUGGUGACAGAUAGGAUGGGAACUUUAUAAGAAGAAUGUAAUGGUGCAGACUAGGUUGUACAAGGAGAACAUGGAGAUCUCAAGUUACAAACCAAACAUCAUAUUGAUAGAGGAGGGCAAUGAUGUGAC